rnacentral:rRNA from 1 species
GAUGAACGCUAGCGGCAGGCCUAAUACAUGCAAGUCGAACGAGAUUAAGAGGCUUGCUUCUUAUGAAAGUGGCGCACGGGUGCGUAACGCGUAUGCAACCUACCUUAAUCAGGGGGAUAGCCCGAAGAAAUUCGGAUUAAGACCGCAUAAAAACACAGGAUAGCAUUAUCCAAUGUUCAAAUAUUUAUAGGAUUAAGAUGGGCAUGCGUGUCAUUAGCUAGUUGGCGGGGUAACGGCCCACCAAGGCGACGAUGACUAGGGGAUCUGAGAGGAUGACCCCCCACACUGGUACUGAGACGCGGACCAGACUCCUACGGGAGGCAGCAGUAAGGAAUAUUGGCCAAUGGAGGGAACUCUGAACCAGCCAUGCCGCGUGCAGGAAGACAGCCCUCUGGGUCGUAAACUGCUUUUAUUCGGGAAUAAACCUUUCUACGUGUAGGAAGCUGAAUGUACCGAAGGAAUAAGGAUCGGCUAACUCCGUG